UACGAAGGGGGCUAGCGUUGCUCGGAAUCACUGGGCGUAAAGGGUGCGUAGGCGGGUUUUUAAGUCAGGGGUGAAAUCCUGGAGCUCAACUCCAGAACUGCCUUUGAUACUGAAGAUCUUGAGUCCGGGAGAGGUGAGUGGAACUGCGAGUGUAGAGGUGAAAUUCGUAGAUAUUCGCAAGAACACCAGUGGCGAAGGCGGCUCACUGGCCCGGUACUGACGCUGAGGCACGAAAGCGUGGGAAGCAAACAGG
rnacentral:rRNA from 1 species